rnacentral:piRNA from 1 species
UAAAGAGACUGUCAUAUCUAGUUAGGGCCU